GACGAACGCUGGCGGCGUGCUUAACACAUGCAAGUCGAACGGAAAGGCCCUGCUUUUGUGGGGUGCUCGAGUGGCGAACGGGUGAGUAACACGUGAGUAACCUGCCCUUGACUUUGGGAUAACUUCAGGAAACUGGGGCUAAUACCGGAUAGGAGCUCCUGCUGCAUGGUGGGGGUUGGAAAGUUUCGGCGGUUGGGGAUGGACGCGCGGCUUAUCAGCUUGUUGGUGGGGUAGUGGCUUACCAAGGCUUUGACGGGUAGCCGGACUGAGAGGGUGACCGGCCACAUUGGGCCUGAGAUACGGCCCAGACUCAUACGGGAGGCAAGAGUGGGGACUAGUGCAAAAUGGGCGGAAGCCUGAUGCAGCAACGCCGCGUGCGGGAUGACGGCCUUCGGGUUGUAAACCGCUUUCGCCUGUGACGAAGCGUGAGUGACGGUAAUGGGUAAAGAAGCACCGGCUAACUACGU
rnacentral:rRNA from 1 species